UCUUGAUCUUGCCGUUCCUGUAACCUUCCUUCUGUGUUCUUUCCUACAACUGGAAGAUUAUAGCUGAUAAAAUCCUAAAUUUCCAUACCAAUAAUAUAUUUCGGUUACAUUGCAAUUAGUUAUAGUAUGAUAUCCCUAAAUUCCCUCAAACACAUAUUUAUAGACUAUUUGUAAGCCAGAUAAGCUCUAAAUCAGUCAAUUUUAUAACCAGGUAUAGCUAGCUGAUUUCUCAGAUGUUUAAUUGCUCUGCCACCCUUGGGAUGAUUAUGUCCUCUCCUGUUCCUAUAACUUAAGGGACCAAAGAGCUCAUGGGAAAGCACUCAUCCUACUGACAGAUAAAGGACGGAAGAAGCCAGCAGUGACAUUGUAAGGUAAGGCUAAUGUGGAACCCAAUCUGUCACCUAGAUGCCCCUUUGGCCAGCUUCUCUAGAUGCAAGACUGUUUGUGGAAGAUGAACUUUUGAAUAAAGAACAAGAACAACUAAAAAUGCUAUUUUGUUUCUCCCUGGAGCCUUCGGAGCCAAAAGCACCAGGCAUAGAGUCCCCAGGGGUGGCCCUGCCAGGGGUAACAGCAGCCCUGGCAGGGUCCUGGCACUGACAGCCGUACUGUGAAUGGACACAGCUCACUGCAACCACGCUGGCUGCCCUGCCCUGGGUCCUGGGCAUGUGUAUCCCAUGACCUUUUCUACAGCCCAGAGAAGCCUCCGCUUGGAGGGCAGUGGUGGCACAAAAGCAGCUGUGGUGGCCUUGUGGGCAGUUGACACAGCAGCUGCUGCUGGCCGGCACUGGUGGGAUUCAAGACACAGAGGAUCAGGGACAGCCUUGGUCUCAGUGUACAGGACAGCAGGCCUCUGUGGGACCUGCUAGGCUGGAGGUCAUUUCAAGGGCAGGAGUGGCCCCUUUAGUGCACAGGAGGGUAGACCUUGACAUACACUGCUGGCUGACACUCCUGUGCUGUCACAGGUGGACAGGACAGGUCAUAUGUGUGCCACGCCCACGGCCACACGGGCCAGACCCAAGUCACUGGCAGGGCUGCUGUGACCUGCUUUCUGUGCCUCUGCCUCUGGGUGAUUGAGGUCAGCGCCGGUGUCUGUGGCACAAUCAGGGUUGACGCGUUUGGGGAAUGUGAAUAAACUGGAAAACGUUCCCAGAGCAGAUGGACCGUCCACAGUGUCUUUAGGACAAAGAGCUGCCGCAGGAGCCCCCAGGCAUCCAUCUGCGUGUCUUCUGCCAUGUGACCCUGCCCGGCCACAGUUCACGGGAUGGGGACCGAGGGCCGACACAAAGGCCGCCCAUUUAGAGGCCACAAAAGGGCUCCUCAGUAAGGACCGUGACGGGCUGAACUAAUCAGCCGCUCCUCGACGACUGAGUGCUGGGGACCCGGAGAUUUGGCAGGGAGGAGAACAGGACGAGGAGGACAAAGAGGAGAAGAGCAACAGGGCACGCGGUGAGUGGUGCUGGCACAGAAAGCCUUUUCUCCUGGACAGCACUCGCACUCCUGCAGCUCUGUCAGCACAGCCAAUGCGCUGAAUGUAAGUGAAGAGACCAUUGCAAAGCCAAGAAGAGAGGAGUAGAAGAAUUCAGUUGGUGGAGCACUUCACAGACACAUGAAUGAUCGGAAAAUUCUUAGGUGUGUGUUUUGCUGUCUUUGUUUUCGCUUACUUUGCUUGUGUGAGGAAACGUUCACAGUGGGACAGGCAGCUGACACCUCAAGACGUGUAAUUCAUGCCCGGGAGGACUCUGCGGCUAGUUUUCUGCCAUUCUCAGUUCCGUGGUUGUUCUUCUACUUAAUCCCUGUCCCAAGUUCUCUCAUCCUUUCAGAGAGCUUCCUGGUUCCUCACUCGUCUCCGGAUGCAUUUUUAAGAUAAAUCUGUCAACCUGAGGCACGGGCAGUGCGGCUCUGCUGGUGGCCACCUAACUCAACAGCAAGUAUGAGGGCGGGCAGGGAACAGACAGGGUUGUGUGUGCAGACUCAGAGGCACAUCUGAGUCUGUUUUCUGAAAAAUACAAAUGGCCUGCAGGAAAACUGUGAGCAUCUUCAGUAGCUGUUCUCCCAGUUUAAGGUGUCUCCUUUUUAAGGUUUCUCCUCCUCUCCCCAUCCACUCAGCUGUUCUUUUCCCUCCCCACAGCCCAUCCCAUACGACUCCUAUUAAGAGAGCAGCCUGUAUGACCCAGUAACACCCCAGGCACAGAGGUGCUGAUGGACAGAACAAGGCGCUCACACCUUCCUGCCAGUCUCCCCCAGGAAAGAACCGACCACCCAUGGUAUCCACAGGUUCUCAUUUCCAGCACGGACAGAUGUUAGGCGCUAAAGGUCAGCGUGGUUUCUGUAGAGACUGGCUGAAGGAAAAUGGCUCGUCUCCAAGCAGGAGCGUAUACAGCUCAUGCCUUCAGACUUCGACACUUCUCUUAGCUGCCAGAAAUAUUACUUCUGUAAAACCAGUAUUUAUUUAUUUAUUUUUAAACUUUCUUUGUUACACAGUAAAGAAUACAACAAUACCUGAAUCAUACUUUAAAGAUUCACAGGAUGACAGACCAUACAUUACAGUCCAACUCAGGAAAAAAAAGAUAAACAAGAAACCACAGUUCAGACAUAGUAGACUUAAAAGCUCAAGAGUUUGCGGACAGAGGCAUGAUGCCUAGACCCCACCCCCUACUGUUAGUCUACCCUUGACUUGUGGUACACGUCUAAAUUAAGAACUGCACAACUUUAAUUUUUCACAAUAAUGUCACAGAACCCAAAAUAAUAUUUUUUAAAAAAACAGAGAGAAGAGAUAGAGGACGCCCUAUUCCUAUCAGUGACCACCAUUCAGUUCUAUCCAAUGAAGAUACCUUCUUUUAAAAUGUGUUUAUGAGAUCUGCACGGGUGCCAAAAAGUGACAUGGUUUGCAGCUAUACAAGCUUAACUUUCAGUAUCCUGGUUCUUUUGUGGCCCUUUGGCUUGACUAGACCAGUUUUUGUUAGCUACUGGUCUAUACAUGCUGUCGGAGGUGCCUUGAAUUAAAAAGUAGUGAGACAUACUGUACUAAUCCCUAUUAAGAAGAUUAACAGUGCUGUUUCACAUACAUCACAGCUUCUAAAGACGUUUUGUAAGGAAAUGCCUGGUGCACGUGUAUAUGGAGAAGUGUUCCCCAGCCUUGUCAGCUUUGGUUGACUACACAGCCUGCAGCCCUGCCGACUCCGGUAAAGCAACAACCAUAUCCUGCUACUGUGUUCAAAACUAAGAAGAAGUUCUGGUCCGGACCCUGGACAAUGACGGGUUGAUGGAUCGGCACCUUUCUGAACAUGUUUAACCAGCUGAUUAUUUGGAAAGUGGAACUGUUGCUUUGCAAAAUCCCAAUUCUGGUCCAUCAGAUCAGUCUUUGACUGACUUCCCUUUUUGUAAGAAUGCUGUGUAACCUAGCGUUCAGCAGUGUUAAAGCUGUCAGUCUACACCUCAGCAAUUGGAGCUCUAAUGACUUUUUUAUCUUUUUCGUAAAAUUAGAAAUACUUAAACGACCUUACAGCAAUCUGCAUGCACUGUCUUUUUAUUUUAUUUUUCUAGUACCAGGGAUCAAACUCGGGUCCUUGCACUUGCGAGGCAGGCGGUGGCACCACUCAGAUGGAUCCUCAGCCCUGUGUUUCUUUUCAAAACAGGAUUUUUUUUAAAGUCCCUAAUAAUGCUUUUUUCCAAAAAAGGAAAAAAAGAAAAAAGAAAAUCAAAGUUUAAUUAAAUUCUUGACUUGAAAAGGACCUUUCUUUCUUUGUUCCUCUCUCCUCUCUCC